GGCAGCCUAGUGGUUAGAGCAUUUGUCUCCAGAACGAAAGGCGUGGGUUUGAUGCCCUAUGCCA